CUUGGACUCUCCUUUGCAGCACCCUGAAAACGACCCUUCAGGUAAGUCAAUGGUCCUUCUACUCAAAAAGGCCAAAGCAAUUUACAAACAAGGAAUGCAGUAAAAUGAAAACUGUCAUAAACUGUAACUAAGGCAAACAUGCAACAGCCACAGCUUUCCAUCCUGAAGCGGGUUUGGGUUUCCUUUUCCAUCUCUUCCUAAAGCUUUCUAGAAAAAAGACAGAUGAUUACUCCCAUCAGACCCUGUUAACAUCCUGACUUGGGAGAUGGGCAGCCUUUUGGUGGCCCUAGUCCCUUGGCCUAGGGGCAGAGAAUGAGGGCUUUUCCUGUGAGACAGGAGCUCUGGCAAGGCAAUCGAGACUUCUGUGUCAGUGCACAUCAAGGAAUGUCCGUGUUCUCAUUCGGAGACGGUUGCCUGGCUGUUGCAUUUAUACUUCUGUGAAUGUUAAUUUUAUGGAUAGAGAUACUCAAACAACAAUGUGCCCAGCAGGAAGUGGGAUCAACCAAACAGCAUCCGGGAGGCACAUCACACAACUUAUAGUUGAGAUUUGGGAGGUGUGUGCAUUGGGCUGUCUACAACCAUCUGCAACCUGUGCUUACAACAUCAGCCCCUUCGCAAUGUAACAGUUGCAGACAAGUCUAAAUCCAGCUUUAAUGUUCAGCUCUGCUUUUUGGAAAGCAUUGAAUUGUUUCAGUUUCUGACUUAGGGAAUUUGUUAUACUAGUGGCAUAACAAUAGCUUUUUGUGAGGCCUUUAUUUUCUGCAGCUAGAAGAUAAGAUCCCAAACAGCAUCCCAUGGAAUUGUAUGUACUGAUCAAGUUUUAAAGCCUUUAAUGGGCUCUGGGUGCCAUGUGCUUCUCCACAGGGGCUGUUUGCCCGUCGGCGACAGCUGCUGCUCACGGAAGGGCCACACUUAUACUAUGUUGAUCCUGUCAACAAAGUCCUGAAAGGGGAGAUUCCUUGGUCACUCGAACUCCGACCAGAAGCAAAGAACUUCAAGACCUUUUUUGUCCACACACCUAACAGGACGUACUACCUGAUGGACCCAAGUGGGAAUGCUCAUAAGUGGUGCAAAAAGAUACAAGAGGUUUGGCGACACAGAUAUCACCAGAAUGCUGCGAAAUGAGACUGCCCCUCAGUGCCCAUCUCACUCCUUUGCUGCUAGAGUGCCACGUGCCCCCAGACGGAGGACUCUUCCACGCCCGGCUCACCUCCAGCUCCAGGGCCGAACUACCUCUUCUGAGGAGGAGGAGGAGGAGGAGGAGGAAAAGCCCAGCCAGUGGAAUUCAGGGUUGCUUUGCUUGCUUUUGUGCUUCUGGUGGAGCUUCUACACCCCCACCCCCACACUCACAUUCUGCUGAAACUGAUUAUGUUGGCUUCUGCUGCAAACAAGUGGAGUUUGCAUUGCUGGCUUUGCCCUAGACCAGUUAAGGUAGCCAGGCCCAGAUCAUGUCGGGCCUGGAUUAUUACUGUGAUCUUCUGAUUUAUCAUGCAACUGUGUUUUGGGGAGCUUAGGAAUCUCUCUUCGUGAGAAGUUGCCACCCUUGAUGCUGCUGCCAUCACUUUCCUUUCUAACUAACCGUUGGUUCUUUGGUAUCCAGCACUUGCCAUCACUCUGGGUGUAAACCCACAAAAUUCUCCAGGUCGUGUCCAGUUGCAGGAUCUCCAAGGAUGGUACUUCUAAUGCCUGCCAGCCUAUCUGCCUUCAAGAUGCACUCCGGCACAUAUAGAAAGUGAGAGGAAUGAUGAACGUGAUCCUUGAAAUUCUGGCAUUCUAGUAUCAGACAUUUUUAAAACAUGGAAUUUUAAUUUGAUGCAUUUACAUGUUUAACUGAGCAUAAAAAGUUACCAGCAUGAUUUUAACUAAUACUAAAGGUGAACUAGUUAGGACAAAAUCAUAUUGACGUCAUGAAUAGACUCUUCACUUUUUCAGAAGAGGGAGCAAACGGUUUUCUUUCCAAGGUCUGGCAGGGCAAAGGGUUGCCUUUUGUGUGGCAGGAAGGCCAAACAAAAUGCUGUUGUACGACUGAUUUGAUUUGUUGUCUCUUUGUAUAAUGAGGUGUACAAAUAUUCCUGUAUUGUUCAUUGGCCAAGCAUUGUACCUUUUAGCAACUUUGAAAAUAUUUUACAUGAUUUAAAUAUAUUUAAGCCCCUCUAUUAAUUGGACUAAUUGUUGUGUUCAUGUAAAAAUGUUGAUACAGAGGAGGGGAAAAAUGUAUGGUACUUGAGUCAUAUCUAUCAUAUGUUUCAUAUUGUUCUUUUGUCUUUUUCCAAUUAAACUGUCACGCUCAAACAUUUCUUGAAAUAGAGGCGAGGUGUUGUUUCCUCACCCCAAGAAUCCUUCCCUUUGUGCAGGGUUGGAUCUGGACUGUCUCACCACCCCCAUUUCUAUUCCUGUCUCCUUUACAUGCGGAGAAUAGGAAAUUAGCAAGCAAUGGCCGAUAUGGCUUUUCCCAAUCCAACAGAUGAAGAUGUUGAUGCCUCUGUUCAAAGGGAUAUUUCUUGUGCAGCACAGAAGUGGCCUCUUCUGGCAGGAGCCCACGUGGAGGUUGGCCAUGGCAAUGUCAGGACAUUCUGGGUUUGGGGCUGUUCUACUGUAGGAGGACUUUGGGCAAUGAGAAAAGCCUUUAUUUUACUCUCCCUGCACCCUCCCCCCUCCGGCGGGUGGGCAAGCAGUCAGAUACACGUAGCCUGAACGAGAUCCUACCAAAACCCUAAACCAGGUAGGGAUUUAGGGAGCAAAAGGUUGAGUUUCCUUUGUGUUAUUGUAUUGUAUGAUGGAAUGAGGGUGGGGUUGGGGAGUUAGCGCUCAAACUGGAUUUGCACAUUGCUGAUAAUUUUCAUUUCUUUAUUUCAAUCAAUGAAGAAAUCAGAAAUGUCCUGGGGAAUUGGGCAGGUUUAGGGUAGAAUUCAGUUCAUUACUGUACCACUUUGGAACAAAUUUGAAACAAAAUGCAAGUGUUGACAGUCCUAUAAAUGGGUGAAGGGAAUUUAUGGGAAUUAAUGCUGGCCUUACUUCAAAAAUUAUGUAGAAGGUGGGAUUUGGUCCUCAUGUAAGCACAGCAUUUGUCUCCUUUUAAUAAAAAUGUCGUGGCGCUCUCCCCCCUCCCCCUCCCAAUUUUGUGCACAUGACUGAGGGGCAAAAUAGCACAGCUACUUUAAAAGUUGCAUGGUUUAAUAGAAGUUGAUUCAUUUAAAGAAGAGGCAUUUGGGCAGCAUAGAAGCCAGGAAUAAGUCCAGUCUAUUUUACUGAAUAGCACAGAGGUGCUGAGCUGCAUUAGUCCUGAAGAGCAUGAGGAGAGAAAAGGUUGGAUGAUCAGUUCCUACUGUGGAACAUGUUCAAAGUGACUCCCUACCUCCAGAUUCCGCCAGGCUAUGGGACAUCAUAGUAAAAGGCCUGACCAGUCCUGCAGCUGGUCCCUAUUAGGUUGUUGUGAAUCCAGGAAAGAACUGAACUUUCCCACUGUCCGAUAAUCUCUUCAAAAAUGAAUAGCAAUUCUGUUUCAAAGAAGUAAAAAAAGUAAACUUUAUUUUAUUCCAAAUGUACAAAACAUUUACAACUGUACAGUGUUGCUUAAAAGUUUGUAAAUUCUUCUGGAUUUUCAAUGUUUCUGCAUAAAUAUGACCUAAAACGUGAUCUGUUUUCCAUAUAAAUCCUAAAACUAGUUGAGAACCCAAUUAAACAAAUUAGUAAAAAGCAA